GCAAGAAGCUAUAGAGAUCAAGAAGGAAACAUAGGGAUGGAGACUACUACUAAGCAUCUUCGACUAUGCUAAGUCCUGAGCAGACAGUGAAGAACUAGAAAGACAUGGCCCCGCCCUCAUGAAGAUUACAAGUUAGGCCUAUUCUCCACACUUGUUCUAACUCAAUCUGCUACAUAUACCUUGAGUACCCAGUAUGCGUUAGGUACUAAAAGGAGCUACAAAGAUGAACCAGACACAGUCUUCAAGAACUUCAGGGAUCAGGGAAGGUUUAUCCUGAUUGUAAUCCCUCCAGAGGUUUUGAUCAUUUCUCUAAUCACUUAUUAGGCCUCUUGCUUCCUGUAGGAAUUUGUUCUCUAUAUUAGAUUGAAAUCUGCCUGUUCUAAUUUCAACUUCCUUUCUUCUGGCCCUGGCUAGUCCUCAGUGUACAGAAUUGCCAUUGGUACCUGCUGGUCAAGGCCAAGUGUUGUGAGCCAAGGUUUCUAACCUUGGCUGCAGUUACACUUAACUGCUCCUCUCCGAAGCUGGAUUUAGCAGAGAUUUGAUGGAAGCCCUGCAAACCUCGAUUCAAAUCAAAGUUCAAACCUAGUGACUGGUUGAGUGAACUGCUUUAAUAAUAACAGUGCAAAAAUUGAAUUUAAAAUAAUCCUUUUAGGGAUGCAAGAUGCAGUGGUUUAGCCUUUUAUUAAUAUUCUUUUCUUUCCACUAAUAAAGAUUUUAAGUCAACAUCUCCUUAAAUUUGAUUAAUUCCAUUAGGAUCACUCCAAAAAAAGGUUUAUCAGUGGCUUUGAAAUCCAAAUGGGAUGAAGAAAAAAUCAUUUAUAUGGCAAAAUCUCAGUUACACUAACUAGAUUAAAGACCUUCUGCUGAAUU